GAUGAACGCUGGCGGCGUGCCUAAUACAUGCAAGUCGAGCGAACGGACGAGAAGCUUGCUUCUCUGAUGUUAGCGGCGGACGGGUGAGUAACACGUGGAUAACCUACCUAUAAGACUGGGAUAACUUCGGGAAACCGGAGCUAAUACCGGAUGAUAUUUUGAACCGCAUGGUUCAAAAGUGAAAGACGGUCUUGCCGUCACUUAUAGAUGGAUCCGCGCUGCAUUAGCUAGUUGGUAAGGUAACGGCUUACCAAGGCAACGAUGCAUAGCCGACCUGAGAGGGUGAUCGGCCACACUGGAACUGAGACACGGUCCAGACUCCUACGGGAGGCAGCAGUAGGGAAUCUUCCGCAAUGGGCGAAAGCCUGACGGAGCAACGCCGCGUGAGUGAUGAAGGUCUUCGGAUCGUAAAACUCUGUUAUUAGGGAAGAACAUAUGUGUAAGUAACUGUGCACAUCUUGACGGUACCUAAUCAGAAAGCCACGGCUAACUACGUGCCAGCAGCCGCGGUAAUACGUAGGUGGCAAGCGUUAUCCGGAAUUAUUGGGCGUAAAGCGCGCGUAGGCGGUUUUUUAAGUCUGAUGUGAAAGCCCACGGCUCAACCGUGGAGGGUCAUUGGAAACUGGAAAACUUGAGUGCAGAAGAGGAAAGUGGAAUUCCAUGUGUAGCGGUGAAAUGCGCAGAGAUAUGGAGGAACACCAGUGGCGAAGGCGACUUUCUGGUCUGUAACUGACGCUGAUGUGCGAAAGCGUGGGGAUCAAACAGGAUUAGAUACCCUGGUAGUCCACGCCGUAAACGAUGAGUGCUAAGUGUUAGGGGGUUUCCGCCCCUUAGUGCUGCAGCUAACGCAUUAAGCACUCCGCCUGGGGAGUACGACCGCAAGGUUGAAACUCAAAGGAAUUGACGGGGACCCGCACAAGCGGUGGAGCAUGUGGUUUAAUUCGAAGCAACGCGAAGAACCUUACCAAAUCUUGACAUCCUUUGACAACUCUAGAGAUAGAGCCUUCCCCUUCGGGGGACAAAGUGACAGGUGGUGCAUGGUUGUCGUCAGCUCGUGUCGUGAGAUGUUGGGUUAAGUCCCGCAACGAGCGCAACCCUUAAGCUUAGUUGCCAUCAUUAAGUUGGGCACUCUAAGUUGACUGCCGGUGACAAACCGGAGGAAGGUGGGGAUGACGUCAAACCAUCAUGCCCCUUAUGAUUUGGGCUACACACGUGCUACAAUGGACAAUACAAAGGGCAGCGAAACCGCGAGGUCAAGCAAAUCCCAUAAAGUUGUUCUCAGUUCGGAUUGUAGUCUGCAACUCGACUACAUGAAGCUGGAAUCGCUAGUAAUCGUAGAUCAGCAUGCUACGGUGAAUACGUUCCCGGGUCU
rnacentral:rRNA from 1 species